GACGAACGCUGGCGGCGUGCUUAACACAUGCAAGUCGAACGGAAAGGCCCCUUCGGGGGUACUCGAGUGGCGAACGGGUGAGUAACACGUGAGUAACCUGCCCUUGACUUCGGGAUAACUUCAGGAAACUGGGGCUAAUACCGGAUAGGAAUCCUUGCUGCAUGGUGGGGGUUGGAAAGCUUCGGCGGUUUUGGAUGGACUCGCGGCUUAUCAGCUUGUUGGUGGGGUAGUGGCUUACCAAGGCUUUGACGGGUAGCCGGCCUGGGAGGGCGACCGGCCACAUUGGGACUGAGAUACGGCCCAGACUCCUACGGGAGGCAGCAGGGGGGAAUAUUGCACAAUGGGCGGAAGCCUGAUGCAGCAACGCCGCGGGCGGGAUGACGGCCUUCGGGUUGUAAACCGCUUUCAGCAGGGGCGAAGCUUGUGGUGACGGUACCUGCAGAAGAAGCACCGGCUAAGUACGUG
rnacentral:rRNA from 1 species